rnacentral:lncRNA from 1 species
AGAGAGCCUUGAGUUGGAGAGCUGGGGAGAUGGGAGGCUCCGCGGCAUGGGAGAGGGACCCUCCAGGGACCCUUCAAGCCCACUGGAGACAGCAUGGUAAUGCCACUCGUUUGUUCUGUGGGAACAGUGCGAGCUUGCAGGGAGUUCAUUGGCUGCUGGGCAGAAUCCAUUGUCUUGAAGCCUGUGUGUUCUCAGCUGGGGAAGCCCUGUUUGGAGUGGGGAGACUCUCACCACGCCACCUCAAAGCAUGACCCAGUCAAGUCCUCACAGAAUUUCUUUCCAGCAGGGAAUCUGUAAGCAGCUGGGUCAUGGGUCUCAGAACCUACCUUUCCUGUCAGAUUCAUUGGGGAAGCUGGAUAAACAGAGUCCCGGGCCCUGUAUCCCAGAUGAAGGCUCUAGAGGUCUAAACCAGGCCUGGGGGCGGGUGGGGGUGGCUCUACACUUUACAGGGAGACUCUGAUGUAGGAUGUCCAUGAAGCCCAAGAGCAACAACUGGGAGCUUGGAAAGACAAAAGCAGCCAGGUGGGCGGUAGCAGUGCAUACUACCUGGCACAGAGGCAGAAGGACCUACAGAGGCCAGCUUGGUCUACACAGUGAGUUCCAGGACAGCCAAAACGAGAAAGAGACAGACACAGAGAGAGAGAGAGAGAGAGAGAGAGAGAGAGAGAGAGAGAGAGAGAGAGAGAGAGAGAGAGAGAGAACAAACACUAUGCAUUUGAGGAUGAAAUUCCUGAUCCCCGUCUCAAGCUCCUGUGUGCAGGGCUAACAGGUGUGUGGUAUGACAUGCAGUUUCUGCACCGCUGGGCAUGGAAUCCGUAGCUUGUGUCUCCUAGGCAGGCACGCUACCAGCUGUGCCUCACCUCGGUGCCUUAACUUUUAUUUUUGUAGGACCAGGUCUUGCUAUGCAGCUCUGGCCAGCCCCGUGUGAUAAUUCUCCUGCUUCUGCCUCCCGAGCUGGGAUGCCAGGCCUGUACCAACACACCCAGCUUUUGUGUGAGUCCAUCACAGUGAGCAAGACCGAAAGCAGGCAGCUUCUCUUUGUUUGCGGUUGGAAUGCUUAACGGCCGCUGGAAGUGAGUGGCCAGUGGAUUGUGCAAAGCCGAUACAGAGAUACAGAGCACGCCCUUCCACCCUUCCACCUGGCGUUCCGGCCAGAGAGCGCUCCAGACAGCACCGUCCCAGAAUGCGCUGCGCAAAACCAGGGAUGUUUGUCCGGUUUGAUCAUUGCUGUGUGGCAGUGUCCAGUGAAGCACUGCAAAUAAAAUUAGAAAUCUGGGGGACUUUUGGUAUAGCAUUGGAAAUGUAAAUGAGUUAAAUACCUAAUAAAAAAUGGAAAAAAAAUAAAAUAAAAUUAGAAAUCAGCAAA